GCGCCCGUAGCUCAGCUGGAUAGAGCGUCGCCCUCCGAAGGCGAAGGUCACAGGUUCGAAUCCUGUCGGGCGUACCA
rnacentral:tRNA from 1 species